UAGACGCGACCCUCCGAUCCGAUUUGGACGCUUGCUGAGACUCACAGGCCGAAAUGUUUGGCUCCGAGUGAGAGAGAGCGCGUGGAGCGCAGCUCUGAGAACAAUUACGCCUCGGUAGUGGAUAAAGACGCCUGGUGUAUUUUCAGGAGUCUAUUUGGACACUUCUACAUGCAUUUGGUCGAGAUUGUCUGAAUUUAGCCAUUUAUGAACGUUGUGCUCACAUGUUUCAGUCUGGAUAAUUUUUAGCAAAACACGUUCCCCGGGAUCUAAAACCGGCCCUACUCAGAAGCAAAUCGCUGCAGUCAAGUAAAUGUUCCAUACCUCACUCCCAGGAGAAAAAAGGAGGGUGUCACCGCGAACUGCUCUGCGGAGGAAGAUAAAGAAAAUACUCCGUCCGCUGGAGGACCUGGACCCGGGGCGGAGGGCGCCGCGGCCUGGCUUCUGGAGCCCUGGCGAGCCUGUUCUCUAUUCCAGAUCGCUCGCGCUGCCCUGCUCGCCCGCCUCUUGGUCUCUCGCUGGCUGGACCGAUACAUCUGCAGAUACCUUGGCCCAAUCUCUGGCGGCUCCGGGUCCCGUCGCUCUCACAAGCUGCCCCAAACUCCCCAACCCCGCGAGGCCGGAGACCCCAGGCAUCCGGAAGCCUGGGGCUCCUUGA
rnacentral:lncRNA from 12 species